rnacentral:lncRNA from 1 species
ACCACCUCACCUGGCCUCCUUGAAUCUUAAUUGCUAUCCAAGGUCUCUGAAUGCUCUAAUCUCCCUCCUGGCUGACAGUACGGGCUCCCCAGGUAUUUUCCAAAGUUUUUUCUUUUUAAAUUAUGACAUGUAUAAUUUUUUAAGUCUCAUUAUGGAAAUUUAAAAUGCUUUCCAAAUGAAAAAUAAAAAACCAGUAACAAUUGUAUUAAGGGAGAAAACAUUUUCAAACUACAUCUCAGAUAUUGGGUUGGUGUCUGUGAUUUGUGAAACAUAGUAACAAAAUGAUUGGCAACAAUUUCAACAGAUAAUUCAAAUAAGUAUAUAUGUGAACAAUAAAUAUUAGAAAACACAGAAACCACAAGAACUAAUGAGAUGCAAAUAUUUUAAAAUCCUGAGAAUUUAUAAUAAUU